AUAUGUUUUGUUUAUGUGCUUUGUGUUUCUAUCUUGUGUUAUACUGCUACACAAGAAAUUGCCCCUUAGGGACAAAUAAAGUAAUUGAUUAAUUGAUUUUUAUUUAUCUAUUUUGUAACCUUUUGGUCUUCUCCUCUGUGGCAGAGAGGUUUUGUUGUCCCACACCUCACCUAAACUGAACUGUUUUAUCAGCUUCAAUGUACAACAAGUAUGCAGUGUGUAGCCGUACAAUAUAGAUUUGUUUCCGGCUGUCACACCGGAGGCUUCGGUCUUUCAAUACAGAGCAGCCAAAGUUUGAACUCACGCUCUUGGAAGUUCAAACUCAGCAACUUAGGAGUCUUAACUUGCAAGAGAAAAAAUAAUGAUAGUGACAUCACCAGCUGCCUGAGGCGGAUCUUGAACAUCCACUGGCCAGAUACCAUCAGCAACAAUGAUCUCUGGCAGAGAACGGGCCAACAACCUGUGCAAGAGGAGAUCAAGAAGAAGAAGAUGGGGAUGGAUGGGCUACACACUCCAGAAACCCAAUACCAGCACCACCAGGCAGGCCCUUAGAUGGAACCCCCAAGGCACAAGAAAGAGAGGCUGGCCCAAGAACACCUGACGCAGGGACCUCGAGACGGACAUCAAGCAGUGCGGGCUGACAUUGAAACAGAUGGAGAGGAAAGCCCAGGACAGAAGACUCUGGUGGACUGUGGUCAAUGUCCAAUACUCCAUGAAAAAAGAGCGAUAGGCAUACCCUUGUCCUUGUCAGUAAAAGUGGCAGAGGGAGAGAGCGGAAAACAAUGUUGUCAAGCAAAAGAGAGGACGGAAGAGAAAGGCAGAGAAGAAGAAUGAUUGAGGAAGCGAGCCUGGAAGAGAAGGAGAGAAGAGGAGGAGGAGGAGGAGUCUUCUUAGAAGGCUAAAAGGAUUAGUCCUCUCAUCUCUCCUGGAUCACAAUGUUUCCUGGGCUAUGUUUGAUCAGCGAUUGUGUGUGUGUUUCUGUGUGUGUGUGUGUGAGUGAGAGUGUGUGAGAGUGUGUGUGUGUGUGUGUGAGAUGUUUGCUCUGAUAUUGACGCUGCCUCAUCCUGAUCCUAUUACACGGCAAUAAACAUCAGCUACCAACAUGGGGAUUACUGAGUGUGUGUGUGUGUGUGUGUGUGUGUGUGUGUGGAGAUGUGUGCUACACUC